rnacentral:lncRNA from 1 species
UUUUGAACUGUUUGCUUUGAACGCAAUGUUCUUCUGCUUCUUCAGUCUUUCGUCAUUAGCCAGUUCUAUUUCAUGAACCUUUAGAGAUCCGAGGAGAUCUUCUAGUCUCAAUGUGCUGAGAUCUUUAGCUUCUUGAAUAGCGGUGACUUUGGGUCUCCAUCUCCUGGGAAGGCAUCUUAGAAUCUUUGUGAUUUGAUCAACAUUUUCAUAU